CCUACGGGAGGCAGCAGUGAGGAAUAUUGGUCAAUGGGCGUAAGCCUGAACCAGCCAAGUCGCGUGAGGGAUGAAGGUUCUAUGGAUCGUAAACCUCUUUUAUAAGGGAAUAAAGUGCGGGACGUGUCCCGUUUUGUAUGUACCUUAUGAAUAAGGAUCGGCUAACUCCGUGCCAGCAGCCGCGGUAAUACGGAGGAUCCGAGCGUUAUCCGGAUUUAUUGGGUUUAAAGGGUGCGCAGGCGGCGUGUCAAGUCAGCGGUAAAAUGUCGGGGCUCAACCCCGGCCGGCCGGUGAAACUGGCGAGCUCGAGUUGGAGAGAAGUAUGCGGAAUUCGUGGUGUAGCGGUGAAAUGCAUAGAUAUCACGAAGAACCCCGAUUGCGAAGGCAGCAUACCGGCUCCACACUGACGCUGAGGCACGAAAGCGUGGGUAUCGAACAGGAUUAGAUACCCCAGUAGUC
rnacentral:rRNA from 1 species